UUCUAGCCCAAUGGAGUUUUAGAUAUGCAACCAUUCAAAAAUUCUAUUUGCGUUAACAAUGAUAAUCAACUUAUUGACUAGUACAGGAGAACUGUGAUAAGAAAGUAUCAGUAUAUGUCGGUGUUUCCUCAACAAAAUCUCCACAACAACGGAGAAUAAUUGGAAAUCCAUGAAAACAUUUCUACUUAGAGUUAGAGAGCGUGAACUGUACAAGUAAAAGGCUUGCAAAGGGAUCCUAUUCUAUACAAUGUGGGAAAUCAGCCCACUCAUAGCGAAGCUACCCAGACAUCAGUACGAAACUCCUUCAAAUUUUGCGAAUUGCCUGGUUCAGAAUUUUUCCUCAAAGGAGGAGAGAAGGGCAUCCGUGAGCAUCGGCCUCCUGCAGAAUCCUGGGAUGUUGUUCCUCAUAUAAUUCCCAAUCUGUUGUCAAGGAUUUCGGUAUAAACGUUCGGUUUGUUUCUCAACCCUUAGCAGAUCAGUCUGUGGUCUAAAAUCGCACUAUUCUGCCUGCUAGAAAGGAACAGAAAAGGGUAAUAUCCAGACCUUCUUUCCUGUUUCUGGUUGGGGCAGUUGAGCUUUCCCCGAUUUUCAUUGGAGGGUUCCAUCAGAGGCUUCUUUGGACUUUGAAGGCCCACUCCUCGGUGCGUUUGAUCUGAUUGGUUUUUUGUCAGCCUUUCUCUGUCUACGAUUGAGCAUAAUUUGACCGCUCUUGAAAGCCAGUCGCGAGUUCUUGUCUAGAUAAUUCUAUGCUAUUUUGGUUCGAUUAUAGUAUAUGUAAAAACCCUAUGUAUUCCCAGAUUCCGAGUUUGCAUAAUGAGCCUAUGAUACCCUCAUGUAGUCAAUCUGUAGUGUGUAGUAAUAAUGUGAGCGGACCAUGAUGUGACUGAUAAUGUGAAUCGCUUACUUUGAUUAAAUUUUGUUCGUCCGUA